UGUUUUAUUUGAAGUGAUUUAUUUUUUGUGUGCGUUGUUGUGAGACUGCAGCGAGAGCCGGCAGUGCUGUCAGUUGUCAGCUGUCAAAAACGUUGAGAUGGAAGCUAAAGUGAAGGAAGAAAUUCCGGACAAAGAUUACCAGCCCAGCACCACUGACAGGCGGAAACCUACGACGAGUAAGGAGAGACGUUCUCCUGAGCAGGAGGAGAGCAGAGUGUCACCGACUCCAGGUCCCGCCAGCCCGCAGAA